AAAUGGGUCAAACAGCUGAUCUCUAUAUACAUACAACACAAUUGAUUUUAUCUUUAUAUUUUCUAUUCAAAUCGUGGAAACAGCAGUUAGAAGGAGUAUUCCUAAAUGUUGGCCACAAAAUCAUGUGUUGAACUGUGUGAAUAAGAAGCAGUAGAGUAAUUGAAACAUUUCCCUUUUCAGUAGAUUCACAUGAGAUCAAAGGAGGAAAGGAAUGAAAUUUAUUGUGUUAUACAUUAUGUAGUGAGAAAUGUUACAGGUUGGGGGAAAUAAUGAGAAGCUCUUAUUACCUAACUCAUAUUCUCAGAAAUUCCUACCAUUUCGGAGGAGAAUUUAAAAUUCUGCAAUAGGUACUAAAUUAACCACCUUUUUUUCGAUUUAAAUGGCGAAUCGCUGUGUAUUUAAAUAUAGAGACCAGCUGAUCUAGAGCAGCUCGGCUCAGAUCUUCCCACCAACAUUUUGCUGACAAGAUGAUUGAACAAAGCAACUUAGAAACAGCUAUUUUAGGACACUGUAAAAUAACUAUCUAAAACACGAUUUUCAUUUUAUAUUCUUUCAAUGAAAAUUAGAUCCGAUGUCCAUUCCAGCGAAUCAGUCAGGAAAAUAAACAAAUCCUGAAUAACAAUGAUUUUGUGCUGUCUGGUUCUUGGAAAUCCAGAUAGCAAUUGGUGUUGCCAUAGAGUUUCAGGUCUUGGUAGAAGGUUUGAUAUGGACGAAUCAAGUACUAUAUGGAAUUGUUUUAUAAAAUUGAUAAAUGACUUAUGAGUUGACUUCAGGAAUCAUUAACCGCCCUAGUGCAUAGUACAUUCAAAAGGUCUCAUCUUCCGUUAGUAUGUGCAAAGAGACAAUUCUGGUAGUAACGGUUUGAAAGAUAAUAAGAUCUGAAAUUAUAGAGCAGUCUGUGUUUUUGUCUGUACUCUAGUUGUGUUCUCUCUACAUUCGGAGAGUCAUUUUUGGAUUUUGGAGAUUAUAGUUUGUACGUUUGAAACUUUUAUAAUGAGUGAAAUACCUUCCACAUCCAAAAGUGUUUAGGUUGGUGAUCCAGCCUUUGAAAGUAUCUUACUCCAAUGGGCAGAAGAAGAAAGUAUAGAAAUUUUUGGGUAUGAUAGCUAGAAAAUGUUGAUGAGGAUUAUUUUGAAAAAAAGUGAUUAUGAAACUAGUUCAGAAAUUGAAAUUAGGGACACCUUAAUACAAAAAUUUGAUACCUAAUCUGUUGAAGACCCUCUACAAACAAAAAUUUACAGUACCGCAAGAAUCGUUUCAAGUAAUCAACAGAUAGAUUUGUGUCUAGCACAAAAACACAGAAACAUAAUAUUUAUAUUACUGAAGUUAUCAGGACUGCAUACUUCAGAUGCAUUGGGAAAUAAAAGUGGUGUUCUUUUAUUGAUCACAGAUCCAUCCUGACUGAAACACGAUGAGUUGUCUGAUGGUUCAUCAGGUGUAUAACGAAAGAAAGAGCUGUAUCGGUGAUUAAAAGAACGAGUAACAGUACGAUUUGAUGCAACCGUGGUUGAAGUGCUGAAUACUUUGCUGAACAAAAGAACACAACUAAAACCGAUAUGGUUAUGGUUUCUUGCUGGAGUCUCUUGUUCUGUGAGAAUUAUAAUAAUAAUAAACAAAUCUUUAUUUC